GACGAACGCUGGCGGCGUGCCUAAUACAUGCAAGUUGAGCGAUGAAGAUUGGUGCUUGCACCAAUUUGAAGAGCAGCGAACGGGUGAGUAACGCGUGGGGAAUCUGCCUUUGAGCGGGGGACAACAUUUGGAAACGAAUGCUAAUACCGCAUAACAACUUUAAACAUAAGUUUUAAGUUUGAAAGAUGCAAUUGCAUCACUCAAAGAUGAUCCCGCGUUGUAUUAGCUAGUUGGUGAGGUAAAGGCUCACCAAGGCGAUGAUACAUAGCCGACCUGAGAGGGUGAUCGGCCACAUUGGGACUGAGACACGGCCCAAACUCCUACGGGAGGCAGCAGUAGGGAAUCUUCGGCAAUGGACGAAAGUCUGACCGAGCAACGCCGCGUGAGUGAAGAAGGUUUUCGGAUCGUAAAACUCUGUUGGUAGAGAAGAACGUUGGCGAGAGUGGAAAGCUCAUCAAGUGACGGUAACUACCCAGAAAGGGACGGCUAACUACGUG
rnacentral:rRNA from 1 species